AAGGGGGAGGGAAGAGGCAGAAAUUCUUGCAUGACAGACCCAUGAGUUCGUAGUCUGACCCUACAUGGAGUUGCUGUGUGACCUCAGGCAAGCUCCCUCCCCUCUCUGGGCAGCAGUCCGUCCUCUGUGGUUGGGGUGGGCACAGUUCUCACAGGCUCAUGAGAAUGAGGGGAAGGAGCGAGGUGAGCUCUGACACCGAAGCCAGCACCAGGAAGGGGGCCGCUGUCAUGGGGGUCUCUGGAGUUCCCUGGGGGACCUUCGAUGGGGAGCGAGGAUGAGAGCCAGCAGCUUUCAGGGUCAGGAGGGUGGGGGGAACCCCCAGGUGCCCUUGCCAAGUGUGGAAGGGCCUGGAGGAGACGGAGAGGGAGAGGUAGCCCCAGGCAGCGUGGAGGGUCUCAGGAGACAUCCAGGAAGCAUGGUGCCCACGCACCUGGGCUCAUGGGCCUCUGGACGUCCUCUCCAGCCAGGGAAGAGCCAAGACCCAGGGCCUCAUCCCCACCUGCCCGCCACGCUCUACCCUGGGGCAGGGCGCCCUCGCCCUGCUCCUGGCCCACCCCUGGGCACCUGCCGUGCUGGCCCCUGAGGAGGAGGUGGAGAGUCAGGGCCGAGCUCCAGGGCCUGGGCCCUGCAGGCACCUGGGCAGAUUCUCAGAAGCUGCUGACCUCCUGGUCUCCCAGAUGGCUCUACCAGGCAGGGCCCUGCCCUGAGAAGCCUGCUGGGGUUGUGGGUCCCCUGUCCCUGCCGGCAAGGCCCCACGUCUGCCCUGCAGACCGCUGCCCAGAGUCGGGGUGGCCUUCCUCAGCUGUCCCCUGGGGUGGGGUGGGCAUGUUCUGCCUAGUGUCCCUGCAGGGACAGUGCAGGUGGCUGAGCCUUCACGAUGGGCUGGGACAGAGGGGGACAGCCCUGGAGGGUCCAGGGCUCAGCUCUGAGUCACGGGGACAAGCUCCGGGGCUGUUUUCCUUGGCUGCCCCCCACGGCCUUCGCUCCUGGUGCCCUGGGAGACAGCCUUAUCUCUUCUAAGCCCAGACUAGCCCGAGGCUCUUCCCUGAUUAAGGCCGGUUAGCGGCUCCUGACUGCCCACAGGACAAAGCCCAGAUGCCACCAACGUUCCUUGCCAGGUCCCCAAGCUGGUUGGUGUGUGGCAGGCGGUAGCCUCAGACUGAGGACACAGGCCCAGGGAUGGGCCAGCCAGCAGCCCCUGAUAUUCCUAGGGUCUCGGUCAGGACCACCUAUUGGACCCCAUUCCCAGCCCCCUCGACCAGGGAGGAGCCAGCUGGUAGAAAUGGUGAAGAGAGUCGCCCCACUGCCACCCGGCCCAGAACGUCUCCCCUCAGUUUCCCUUUUGCAGCCACCUUGAAGGCCACAGGGCAAAGACCGUGGCACCAGAGGACAGAUGGAGCCUGGUCCCUGAGUCACCCCCUGGACUCAGCUGGACUGUGAUGUACCCAGGAAGGAGCGAGCUCAGCUGCAGGGUACAGACGCCUGUCAGGACACUCGGUUUUCUCACCUGUGAACUGAGAUGGCCACACAGACCUCACAGAGUGAAGGGAAAGCAGGGGCCAGGGCACAGCAUGCCUGGGGACUUGAAGCCAGUCCUGCGGGUCCCCUGCUGGGCCUUCCUCCCUGCCUGGUCUGUGCUGGGCCCUUCCAGGCUCCUGGCUCUGGGAGGCCUUUGCUGGCCCCCGGGUUCCACUCCUGGGCCUGGGUACACACUCCAUCCUGCCCCUUCUCAGCUGUCUGUCUGUCUGUCUCUCCCACACUGGGAACCACCAGCAGCUGGUGGAGAGCCUCACCCUAACAGGACCCACAGAGGACGUUUUUGUCUGUGCAGUGAGGUUCGUCUCACGUGCGGGGACUGGUGGCGUGAGGCGGAUUGAGGACCUGCGGUGGAGAAAGGCACAGACCCUCAGGACAGGUUCUUCGGCCUGUCUGCGGAAGCUCCUCGGCCUGCCUGUCUCUCUGUCUCUGAGGCCCCAGGACAGCAGGUGCUGAGGCAGAGGCCACUGGGGUGGCACUCAGGUGCUGCCUGGGACCUGGACGAGAGGACAAAUGGAGCCGGGGACCCUGAGCGAGAUUCACCCCUCACUUUGGUGUGAGGCCUUGUCCCGUUUCUCAGCCUGUCGCUCUCCAGGCCCUGCGAACUGCUGGCCAGACGCAGCUGAGGACAGCUGGGUGUGACAAAUGGAGGCCACAGGACAGCAGGGGCUCUCAUGACCAGAGCCCGGGUGCAAACGGACCUGGGGGCUCCUGCAGCCCUCAGCCUCCUGCAGCCCUUCCCCCCUCCCACUUCCUCCCAGGUGCAGAGGGAUCAGGAGCUGGGGUUUCCCCUCCUUUGUCCCUGAGAACUGUGGUGUGGGGGUGGGGGACCUGAGGGAGCUGCCCCCAGAGGGACAAGGUUGGAGAGAAGGAGGAAAUGGGCCCUGGGCCAGGCCUGGCCUGAGUGAAGAGGACCCCUUUCCCAUCUGUGGGACAGUGAUUCACCUCAAAGGACCCCGUUUCUUUAAUGGGGGCUGAUCCACUUUGGUCCCUUUCAAUGGCCUGUAUGUGGGCAGGAUUCACUCCCGGGAGCUCACUAGCUGCCCCUGGGGAGCUCUGCCCACUGGGGACCUCACCUCAGGUGCACCUUGGGAAGCCACCACAAGGCUCCUGGCUUCCUUGCCCAAGCAGCUGUGGCCCACAGGUCACCUGUCCCCACAGCUCACGCACACCGGAGACCUAUUUCCAACCUACAGCCAAAGUCCCAGCAGCAGUGUAUCCUGCGACGUCUGCGUUUACGGACCCUGUUCAAAAAGCACAGCUGCGUCCCGUCAUUUACACGGCCCUCCUGUUGCUGUUGAAAACGCAGGUGGCUUCUGUUUUCACCGUGACACUGAACACUGCACCCAACAGUGCUUUCUCUUCCAUGCUGACAGCUCCCGGUCAGACUUCCGGACCUGGGCCUUCGGCUCCAAGGGCUUGAAUGUGGGAGUCGUUACAUGUCAGGGAAGGAGACUGAGGUCAGAGGGGGCCGGUGACAGGCUCCAGUGGCCCAGAGGGUUGGUUACUUUGUGGGCUGAUGGUGCCACGGGGCUCUGGGCCUUGCGCUAUUGCUGCAAGUGGCUCCCCAAGUGUCUCCUAAAAAAAAAACCCCUACUGUGAUCUGAUUCUCAUACCGCGGUGAUAUCCAGGCCUGGUGCAUGCAGACACCUGCUCCAUGCAGCGCUGAAGCUUUGGACCCCUGAGCAUGCAAGACUCACUGACCUCCACCUCCCGGGGAGGCUGGUAGAACUCGGAAAUAAGGCAGACCAGAAUGGAAGCUCGGCUCAAGGGUUAAUCAAUAGCUAGUACUUUUCCAAACCCUGUUAGUGGACAUUUGGACCAAUAACUAGUGUUUUUCCAAACCCUGAUUAGCAUACACUGGGUGCAAUAGCAUUAGUACUUUCCAAACCCUGAUUAGCAUAAGUUGGACCAUAGCCUUGACCCAAGAGCUCUGUAAACCCCUGGACUAGCACACUCAGAUGGCAAUCCCUGUGGGGUCCCCUCUCGCCCUGUGGGGAUUCUUCACAUACGAAUAAAUCCUCUUCUGUAGAUUUCAUUUUUCGAAUGCAGGAGAUAAGAAUCCAGAAGAAAGAUGGGCGGAGAGCUGCUGGGGUCUGCGGCAACCCCGGAGGGCGCGGUCCACCAUUAAGAUCUGCAACACUUCCUGGCUGCAGAGGAGGUCUGCAGCUUAUGCAGCACCCACCUGCCGGCACAAGCAGAGGCGCUCUGCAGACCUGUGCCUCUUGAAAGCCCCAGACAAGUCAAGAUGGCGCCUGGCGCUUUGCCAAGAGGAGUGGUUUCAGCCAUUAAGAUGAUAGAGAUUCCUUAAUGACUGACUGCUGUGUCAAGAUAAUGUUAAUUAAGUUAAGCUGUGUGUAAUUAAGAUGAUGAGGAUUCCUUGAUGACUGAUUGAUGUAUCUGGAUGAUGUUAAUUGAAACAAGCUGUGUAUUCAGUUAUGUAUAUAUACCCUUGCUGUCCUACAAUAAAGCGGCUCCCGCUGUA